rnacentral:rRNA from 1 species
UACGUAGGGGGCGAGCGUUGUCCGGAUUUACUGGGCGUAAAGAGCGCGUAGGCGGAGACUUAAGUGUGGCCUGAGAGCCCCCGGCUCAACCGGGGAGGGUGGCUGCAAACUGGGUUUCUAGAGGGGGAUAGAGGAAAGUGGAAUUCCGGGUGUAGCGGUGAAAUGCGUAGAGAUCCGGAGGAACACCAGUGGCGAAGGCGGCUUUCUGGGUCCGCCCUGACGCUGAGGCGCGAAAGCGUGGGGAGCGAACGGGAUUAGAACCGUACCUC